UAUGAUUGGGUACGUUUGCCUGAUUAGGU
rnacentral:sRNA from 1 species